rnacentral:rRNA from 1 species
UGGGGAAUAUUGCACAAUGGGCGCAAGCCUGAUGCAGCCAUGCCGCGUGUGUGAAGAAGGCCUUCGGGUUGUAAAGCACUUUCAGCGAGGAGGAAGGUGGUGAACUUAAUACGUUCAUCAAUUGACGUUACUCGCAGAAGAAGCACCGGCUAACUCCGUGCCAGCAGCCGCGGUAAUACGGAGGGUGCAAGCGUUAAUCGGAAUUACUGGGCGUAAAGCGCACGCAGGCGGUUUGUUAAGUCAGAUGUGAAAUCCCCGGGCUCAACCUGGGAACUGCAUUUGAAACUGGCAAGCUAGAGUCUCGUAGAGGGGGUAGAAUUCCAGGUGUAGCGGUGAAAUGCGUAGAGAUCUGGAGGAAUACCGGUGGCGAAGGCAGCCCCCUGGACGAAGACUGACGCUCAGGUGCGAAAGCGUGGGGAGCAAACAGGAUUAGAUACCCCGGUAGUCCACGCUGUAAACGAUGUCGAUUUUGGAGGUUGUGCCCUUGAGGCGUGGCUUCCGGAGCUAACGCGUUAAAUCGACCGCCUGGGGAGUACGGCCGCAAGGUUAAAACUCAAAUGAAUUGAC